GGAGGAUAAGGGGGAGGGGAGGGAAAGGAGACUGAGUUCUCUCUGCUCAGUUCUCCUGGCCACUCUCUUGGUCUAUAAACCUGCUUGAGAUCUCAUUGCUUCCGUCUCUGCCUCUUCCCUUGCUGUUUCUAACCUUCACUGCAUUUUUGACAGUGUUACAAAUAGCUCUAACACUGUAAGUGAAAAGAUGGAAAAGAAAAAAUAAUUACCUGGAUGAUGGAAAUGAGGAUUCAAUUACUUUUCAGCUUCUAUAGUUUGGGGCUUCGUCGUGUUGAGUGUUGCAUCUGAGGCUCCAUGUCUAUGUCUCUGGUCUCCUGCUUCCACAAAUGUCCAUGGAUCGAGGUCAGUAACCUCUUAGGCAGGGAAGGUCACCUCAUGAUUGUGACAUACGUGAGCACAUCUCUGAAGAGCCAAUGAGGUUCUGGCAAAAACCCCCACAGGCUGACUUGUCUGAGUUUCCUGACAUGCCCACUACCAGCCGCCUGGAAGCCGCUGAGGUUUGAUUGCAGGCUGCUCCCUCCCACAGCUGGCUGGAGUUUACUUCAUUUAGGAGUCAGCCCUUGAUCUCCACGAUGACAGCCAGUCCUGCCUGGCUGGGGGAUUGUGACAGCCUUUGUUUCCAUGUGGGCCAAGUCUUUUGACAAGAGGGGAAAGCUCAUUAGUUAGCUGUCAUCCUCAAACGUGGUUAGGUUAUGAGUAAUUCUACUAGGAGAGCCAGGGAGCUGGCAGCUCGUUCCAUAGAGAUUGUUUUAUCUAUUUGUACAGAGUAGUGGGAGAUUAACUGGGAUAUUUUAUGUAAAAGUCUCUGUCAACUGUGGAUGUGCUUACAGAUCCAGCAAGGGGGACGAAGAUGAUUCCGCUUUACCUACCUCUGGGAGGGCCCGGCUGUUGCCUCAAAGCCAAAAGCGCCAACAGGACUUUUUGGUCUCCGCGGUCAACUCCAGUCUGCUGCUCCAUCACUCGGCUUCCAGCAGGUGGCGCUGCGUCCCGCGUAGGCCUGGCCCGCCAGUCUUAGCUCCCCGGCAGGCUCAAAAGAUACCAAGAAGUCGGGAAGUGGUCCCCGCUCACGUAGAGCCGCUGCCUUGGCGAACGCAAUUGAUGACACAGCGGCCUGACGCGGACCUUUGUCAGAGAGAUGGGAUCUGGCGUUUCCGCAGAACGGAAAACAAAGUGCUUCUGCCUGCCGGGCCAGAGUUGACAUUUGCUCACCAUUGAUUCCGGGACGUUUACAGGCAGCGUGAGUUCAUGUGAAAUUGCAGGACUUUGCCAUGAGUCAGAUUCACUUUCUGUAAAUCAGAGUCAACAUUACACUUCCCCGCCCCUUGGGCCAUUACUUGAAUUUUUAGUUCACCCGUUGUAUUUGUACUGAGGAGAUUCAAGUAUUUCAUAAGCACUUUUUUUUUUUUUAAAGGGCAACACCAACUUGGGACAGAUUGGUUGUUUGAGAUUUUUGUCAUUCUUAGCUCCCCAUAUAGGUUGGCCUUAUGUAGUAUUUACAUGUUCAGAAGUAUGUCAUGUAGAAAUUCAAGCGAAACUUGAAAAACAUUUUCUGGCAGGAAGCCCAGGUGGGGUUGUUCAUGGAGACAAUGAUGACUGGACCAGGCGUGGGAGGGAGCAAGACGCAUAGAUGAGGCAAUCGGCCUGGAGCUUUUUUAACACGUAGACAAGAAUGUAGACAGCGGAUUAGGGCAGAAUUUUGAUGGUGGGAGAAAGAGACAAGAUGGGGUUAAAAGCAGAGAGAGGAGUUCCCAUCUGUGGCGCAGUGGUUAACGAAUCCGAAGCCACAGCCACACAGGAUCUGAGCCCCUUCUGCAAUCUACAGCACAGCUCACAGUAAUGCUGGAUCCUUAACCCACUGAGUGAGGCCAGGGAUUGAACUGGCAUCCUCAUAGAUAUUAGUCGGGAUCAUAACCUGCUAAGCCACAAUGGGAACUCCCAUGUUCUUAAGUUUACAAGUUCAGCAGUAUAUUUCUGCAUCGUUUCAAAACUUUCCUUUCCUAUGUAAGUUAAUAUUUAAGCUUAUGGAAAAAUCAUCUAAUGCCUAUAUUUACUUUGAAUUUAUUUUGGUAAAAAAAUUUAGUUUAGG
rnacentral:lncRNA from 1 species